UACGGGGGGGGGCAAGCGUUGUUCGGAUUUACUGGGCGUAAAGGGCGCGUAGGCGGCGUGACAAGUCACUUGUGAAAUCUCCGGGCUUAACUCGGAGCGGCCAAGUGAUACUGUCGUGCUAGAGUGCGGAAGGGGCUACUGGAAUUCUCGGUGUAGCGGUGAAAUGCGUAGAUAUCGAGAGGAACACCUGCGGCGAAGGCGGGUAGCUGGGCCGACACUGACGCUGAGGCGCGAAAGCUAGGGGAGCGAACGGG
rnacentral:rRNA from 1 species